CACGGCUAUAGUCACGGUCACAACACUCAUAGAUAAAGAGCUUCUUCACUCGGAUUUUUUCGCUAUCUGUUUGACGGAAACUCAAGCCUCAAAUUCAAAUUACCAAUAGUGGCUGGUUAAAUAGCUCCGUCGACUUGCAGUUAUUUAAAUUAACAAAGGAUUGUUGAGCUUAAAUUAAACAAUGAUCAACUUAUACAUUGAAUUAUGAUGAUAAAUAAUAAAAGAUUAGACGACACGGUUCGUGAAAACCUUAUUCGGCGAUCAUACUGUAUUGUGUACCUAAGCAUACACAUUAUCCACAAAUGAAACCCGUGGUCACGCAAUGAAUUAUGAAAUGAACAAAGCUAGUGAUGAUAACAGCAGGGACAUUACAGUAUUUCGAAUGCAUUUCGUGGGGACGCAUUAUACGCACGGCGAAAAACAGAAUAUAUUAAACCUACCUCACCGCGACGACGGUUAAGCAUUAUAAAUGAACCACCGCCGGGUGCAGGGAUUAAAAUUGCA